rnacentral:lncRNA from 1 species
CCAGCUCUGCAUCUAUUAAAUACUGAUGAGCUCCUAAUGUUUCAUCCUCCUGAAAGUAUUAUGAUAAAUUAGGCUCUUCUUUCUUUUCUUCAAGCUCAUAAUGAACGGCUCGGAACUUAACUUGACAUACAGCCCACCAAUCUUUCCUUUUUUUCUCCCUUGAUGGAAAAUGAGUAUAAUAUACUGGAACUGUUGAAAAAAAUAUCUCAAGAUUCAGUCUACAAUAAAUCUAAAACAAGGUUCAUGAUAAAAAAUAAAAUUCAACGAGACCAAAAUCAGCCCAA